rnacentral:tRNA from 1 species
AAAGGUACAGCUCAGUGGUAGAGCACAUGCUUCGCAUGUACAAUGUCCUGGGUUCUAAUCCCCAGUACCUCCU